GAGUUUGAUCAUGGCUCAGGAUGAACGCUGGCGGCGUGCCUAAUACAUGCAAGUCGAGCGAACAGACGAGGAGCUUGCUCCUCUGACGUUAGCGGCGGACGGGUGAGUAACACGUGGAUAACCUACCUAUAAGACUGGGAUAACUUCGGGAAACCGGAGCUAAUACCGGAUAAUAUAUUGAACCGCAUGGUUCAAUAGUGAAAGACGGUUUUGCUGUCACUUAUAGAUGGAUCCGCGCCGCAUUAGCUAGUUGGUAAAGUAACGGCUUACCAAGGCAACGAUGCGUAGCCGACCUGAGAGGGUGAUCGGCCACACUGGAACUGAGACACGGUCCAGACUCCUACGGGAGGCAGCAGUAGGGAAUCUUCCGCAAUGGGCGAAAGCCUGACGGAGCAACGCCGCGUGAGUGAUGAAGGUCUUCGGAUCGUAAAACUCUGUUAUUAGGAAGAACAAAUGUGUAAGUAACUAUGCACGUC
rnacentral:rRNA from 1 species